GACGAACGCUGGCGGCGUGCUUAACACAUGCAAGUCGAACGGAAAGGCCCUGCUUUUGUGGGGUUCUCGAGUGGCGAACGGGUGAGUAACACGUGAGUAACCUGCCCUUGACUUUGGGAUAACUUCAGGAAACUGGGGCUAAUACCGGAUAGGAGCUCCUGCUGCAUGGUGGGGGUUGGAAAGUUUCGGCGGUUGUGGAUGGACUCGCGGCUUAUCAGCUUGUUGGUCGAGUAGUGGCUUACCAAGGCUUUGACGGGUAGCCGGCCUGAGAGGGUGACCGGCCACCUUGGGACUGAGAUACGGCGCAGACUCCUACGGGAGGCAGCAGUGGAGAAUAUUGCACAAUGGGCGGAAGCCUGAUGCAGCGACGCCGCGUGCGGGAUGACGGCCUUCGGGUUGUAAACCGCUUUCGCCUGUGACGAAGCGUGAGUGACGGUAAUGGGUAAAGAAGCACCGGCUAACUACGUG
rnacentral:rRNA from 1 species